AUGGUUCCCUGCUGUUUCCUUGUGGCUGUGCUGGCCCCUCUGGGCUGGGCCAUUCAGCAAUCACCAGAUACAGUUGUCCGGGUGGGAGACACCGUGACUCUGGAAUGUUCUGGAUCGGGGAAGGUGAUCUGGUCCAUGUCCUGGUACAGGGUACCCAUGGAGAAGGAUGCCGGGAUGCAGCUGGUUGUAUAUUCAGUGGAAGGGAGCAAAGCAGAUAUUGAGGAGGAAUUCAAAAAUCGCUUCCAGAGUGAUGGGACUAAGAACAACCAUUUAUCUGUGAGGAUACAGCAUGUCCUGCUCAAUGACACAGGCACAUAUUUCUGUGCUGAACAAGGCACUGUGUAUAACUCUGGUCUGUCUUUCGGCAGUGGUACAAAACUUACAGUAAUGGGCAAGAAUGAUGAAAUCAUACCUCCAGCUGUGGCCAUCUUUUUCCCAUCAAAGCAGGAGAUCCAGCAGAAGAGCAAGGCCACGCUGGUGUGCCUGGCCUCUGGUUUCUACCCUGACCACCUGACUCUGGUCUGGAGGGUGAAUGGUGCGCAAAGGACUGAAGGGGUGGGGACAGACGAGUCCUCCACACGGAAUGGCAGCACCUACUCACUGACCAGCCGACUGAGGAUGCCAGCCUGGGAGUGGUUCAACCCUCUGAAUCGCUUCGAGUGUAUUGCCAAUUUUUUUCAGAAUGGAACAACGCAAUCAGUGAAGAAAUUUAUCUAUGGUGAUGCUGGCUGUGCACUCACAGAAGAGUCAUACAUGCGGUAUGGAAAUUCUCUGAAGCUCACGUACCUCAUCCUCUGUGGCAAAGCCUUGGUCUAUGCAGUUUUGGUGAGUGGUCUGGUGUGGACAGCCAAGACUGGUGUCAAGUUAUCUAGAGAAUAAAUGAAGAGCCCUUGUCAUCACCUCGGCAGGAAUGCAACAAGUUCUCGACCUUUCCAUAGCAAAGUAUCUAUGCUUCUGUGAACUUGAGAAUAUAAUUUUUUUGUAAUUGUCUAUUGCUGUCCUGUUGUUCACUUCAUGGUAAUCCCUGGUGAACUUUCCCUGUACUUCCAUAUCAUAAUGGAUCAUAUUUUA